rnacentral:lncRNA from 1 species
UUCUCUUUUUCUUUUGUACUUAGCCCGAAUCGUAAGCGACCGGGUUUGUAAAGUAGAAAUUUUCUAAGUAUAAAUAAGAUAUACUCUUUGCCCAUGAAUGUUUAUUGUCAGUUGCACUUAUGACUGAUCUCGAUCAGUUAUGUCCACCCGAACCUUCUGGUCGGAUCGUCUUUAGGGUUUAUCUGAUUGUAGAUGGUCAACAGUUAUACCCGAAACUUAUCUCGAUCAGUGGUGUCUGCUCGAACCUCUUGAUCGGAUGGUGCUCGAGAUCUGUACUUUAAGCAUUUAUUAAACUCUUGGUCAGUUAUGCUCGGGACUUAUCUCGAUCAUGGAGUUUUUCCGAAGCUCUUGAUCGGAUAGUGCCCGAAGCAUGUCUGUUCAAGUAGUAACGAAAUAUAUGAAUAUAGAUGAAGUUAAACAUUGACAGGAAUGGGAACUUUCAUUUAUAUCAUUUGAAUUGAAACGAUUACAUGGAUAAAAAUAAGAACGACAUAACUAUUACUGGUAAAAUUUUCUAAGUCUUCCAGCAUGCCAUGUAUUCUUUACCUCCGAACCGUCCAUUGCUCGAAGCCGGUAGGUUCCGGGCUUCGGCACUCCUACCACCUCAUAAGGCCCCUCCCAGUUAGGCAUUAACUUGCCGGUGUUUUGGGGGGUUGAUGCCUC